UUAUUUACAUUUAUUUGCUGAGUUAAAUUGAGCCCAUCACAUUCACAUUACUGUCACCCUUUUGAUGCAAACUGGACAAAAGAAGUAUAUUAUUUGUUUAUAUAUAACAUGGAGUUAUGUGAUCGAAUAAUUACAUACAAAAUGAAAGUGAAGUGAAGCAAGUCCAUAUGUAGAUAUGUAAAAGCAAUGUUAUCU